AGUGGAAGCCGAGGGCCGCCGCGGUUGCAAGAACUGGGCUGUGGUGCACGCCGAAGCGAACCAUGGGCUAAUAGAGCGAAGGUAGUGCUUGGAGUUCGAAGGAAAGUUUGCCAGAGUUCACGUCUCGUGGGGAACUUCACUGUGUCGACGAUGGCCAGCCUCGUCGUCGAUUGUGUCGAUGGCCAGCCUCGUCGUUGAUUGAGCAUCGCGGCCAAGUCUGUUGUGACCGGGAUUCUUCAACACGUUCCACCUCGAGGUAUGGAUCCAAAUGCUAGCAGCAGCAUCUCUCAACUACUUCCGCGUGAUGCGAUGGUGCUGGGUACGUAGAUGUGCUUCCGCUCUCUGCUGCAUGCCGUUGUAGGCCAUCCUAUUGCCUCUCACGCCCUAAAACCGGGUCUCCGGCUAACCACCUAGCUUGCGGACAAACUCUCGCCGACGGAGGUUCACCAUGCCGCAUGGACAGCUUCGCCUUGCCUCCUAACCUUCGGUAAUGCCCCUUGGAUCGAUUCGACACCUUCUCUGCAUUGCUUAGCACCUAGUUACGCUUGGAAUCAAGCCCUGGCAUGAUAAUUGGGUGCUCCGCGGUCAUGGCGCCGCCGUGGGUAGGGCCGGCGUGCUGCCGUAUUCCGGCUGGGAGGAAGAAAACUGGCAGCCAUUGGAUUGGAAGUUGACGGUUAGGAUGGGUUAUGGGAAGGAUGUACCGUGGACCGUUGAUCGCGGAAUGGACGUAUCGGAUUAGAUUCACAUAUACCCGUUCGACUCAUUAAAUCCAGGGCGUAGAUCUUGGAUCCUAGGGCUCGGGUUGCGUACCGAUUUGUGCGCGGCCAGAUUUAAUCGUGACCUUUGGUUUGGAUCGGACGGCUCUGAAUCAACGAUACCCCUUCGCCCUGGCUUUCUUUCUAAAGAGACCCCGGAAAACUUGCUAUUCAACCCGCGGUCUAUCGCCUGGGUUCUCUGUGUCUUGGUGCACUUUGCGCCAGGGCCCCUGCACUUCCUAAUAUUAGUGGGCCCAGUCCAGAGUAUUAUAAAACAGAGAAAAUAAUUUAUAAAUGGGUUUUUAAUAGAUAAAUAAAUGCUAGAACUUGUUUAAAUCAUAGAAAAUCCAUUUUUAGUCCAAAUUAAUCCAUUCCACUUUCUAAAAUUUUGUAAUUUUAUUAUCUACCACCUAGAGCCUCUGUUUUGUCAUGAAAACAAUUAGAAAUUUAAUCUCUCACUUAAUCCAUUCUAAGCACAUAGAAUCUUUGGAAAUCCAUAACUUAAAAUCUAUAACUCCGAAAUUAAUGAUUCCUGUUCCUAUGAUCUUAUUUUAAUAUGUAUAUUAUUAAUGUGUAUUUUGUUCUUAUGUGUGGUGUAAUGUUAAUUUUGCCUAUACCAUGUUUGUUUGAAUUGCUACGACUAGCAGUGAGGUCACGAGUCACCUGAAGAUCAUCCUGGUACCUGGAAUCUCAAGUCCCAGGCAAGUUGUGCCCUUGAUCACUUCUUUUACCCACUCAUGUUCUAAUUAAUCAUAAUGAUCUGCAUAGGUUAAUUUGAUGGGACCUAAUAGGUUACCCUAGAUUGUCUAUCUUUAUACCUUGUUUACCACUGAACUUUUUGGGUAGUACUUGCUAGUGCUUUAUGUGGUUUUGGGUAUGAAGAUACAUUAUUCAUGAUCACACUUUUAUUAUCAGUUUAUUAUUACUGUUCAUGAUAAGAUCAUUAUGUUAAUUGGAACAUGGAGAACCACCCGGGAAAACAGUGCUACCACAAGGGAGGAAUGGGACCCCUUGGCUGAUUAAUUAGGAAAGCUAGUGGAAGACUACCUUACCCGAAAGGGGCAAGGGCAGUAGGGGAGUGGUCAUUGUAGGGAGGCCCUCGGGAGGAUUUUGCUGCAAUGGCGGUCCUGCAAGGGAUUCCUGCAUUGGAGCUUCCUAUAAACUGUAGCGGGUUUUCUGAAGCUAGUGGAACUUUGUAAAGGCAUCGUAGUGUUACCCUGCCUCGCCUCCUCGGUAGAGGUGUAUGGGAAGUCGCGAUCCCUUGGCAGAUGGGUAACAUGACUUGUGGGUAAAGAUGCGCAACCUCUGCAGAGUGUAAAACUGGUAUACUAGUCGUGCUCACGGUCAUGAGCAGCUCGGACCCUCACAUGAUUAAAUUAUGGAACUAAAUUCAAUUUGUCAUAUGCAUUGCAUCGCAGGUGAUGUUGUUACUACUUUUGUUCUACUACUUAAUUGGGGUAUUUACUUAUACUUAGUAAUUGCUAAUAAAAUUUUGACCAACUUUAAAAGCAAUGCUCAGCUUCAACCAUCCUCUUUGGUAAGCCUUACACUUCACGUGAGCUCCCACCUUUGGCGAGUUCAUGCACAUUAUUCCCCACAACUUGUUGAGCGAUGAACGUAUGUGAGCUCACUCUUGCUGUCUCACACCCCCACAGGUCAAAAACAGGUACCACAGGAUGAGGCGCAUGGAGGAUGCUGUGAUGAGUUCGUGAGAGGUCUAGGCCGUCAUCUCCCAGUCAACUUUGGGUUGCUGGACCGUUGUCUCCCUAUAAUGUAAUUAUUUAUUUUGUAUAGAAUUCCUGUUAUAUAUAAAGAUGUGACAUUCGAUCCUGUGCCAUUAUACAUCAUAUGUGUGAGACUUGGUCCCAGCAUACCUGGUGUUUAUGUUCGCGCCCGGGUCUUGGUGCCCCCGAAAUCCGGAUGUGACAGAAGUGGUAUCAGAGGAAUGUUGACUGUAGGACGAAACCUAGAUAGAACUGGACAACCAUUGUCUACUUACCUUUGCUACUCUGAUCUUUUCUAAACUUUCCUUAAUCUUUCUCAUCUAUUUCCGCUUUACUCUGAUUAUUCUUACCUUUUCAUUCUAAAGACAAAUGUGGAUUUCACACUUUGAAGUCAUGUAUCUAAAGUAACUUUUAGGAGUAGGAGACCUAUUCUUAGGAAUAAAAAAACAAAACUAUUUUUUUAUUUAUAUGCUUGAAUGUUUGUUCUUGUAAUACAUGUCUGAUUUGGAUCUUUGAUUAAGUGUGAUGAGUUAUGGAGUAAUGUCCACAAUUACAUCUGUAUAUACAUAUAGGCAUAAAUAUAAAUAAAUAAAAUUCAUAAGAUAGCUAAUCAACUUGGAAUAUCCCUCGUUAAAAUAUAUUUAGCUUAAUAGAUCUAUCUUAUCUUAAAAGAUACACUAUUACCUUAGUAGAUUCAUCUUAUCUUGAAAGAUUCAUAUUAUCCAAACCACUUGAUUUAUCCCACCAUGAUCAUGAUCUAGACCAAAAUAAUGAGAUCUUAACUAGUUUAAUCUAGUCAUAUUCAGUCUAAUUUAGAUCCUAUCUAAGCUUAUAUGAUCCAAUCUAGUGUGAGUUACUUAAUGCUGGUACAAAGGAUAAGGCCAUACUCCAAAUUCACUUAAGCCUAAAUUGGUGACUUAGAGCAACUAAGCCCUACACGACAACUUGACCUACAUAAUAGGUUACAUAACUUAUCCAACCAACCUAGAAGCAAAACAACAAGAUAGACAGUGCUUAAAUUUACUUAACUCAUAACCACCUCCUACCCUACUUUGGGUACAUACAAAUCUGCCUUAACUACAUGUUCCUAAUUCGGAUAACAACUUCAAGAACAAAGAUCGAAGAUGAUCGGCUUCAUCAAAUCAAGGAAGAAUAAGAUUCAAGCUAGAUCCUCAAGGGAAUCAAGAUCCACAAUCUUGGAUGGAGUCUUUUCUUACCCUACUCUUUCUUACCCCAAACCUAUAAAUGCUUUAAAGAUAUCUUUUAUCCUGCAUAAUAAAGUGGCUAUACCCAUAAAGACCCAGGCUUUCCUAAUCACUUGAUGAUUUGCGAUAUAGAAAAAAAAAA
rnacentral:lncRNA from 1 species